rnacentral:rRNA from 1 species
UACGAAGGGGGCUAGCGUUGCUCGGAAUUACUGGGCGUAAAGGGCGCGCAGGCGGCUGCUCAAGUCAGGCGUGAAAAGGCCUGGGCUCAACCCGGGAAUUGCGCUUGAGACUGGGCUGGCUUGAGUGCGGGAGAGGAUGGUGGAAUUCCCAGUGUAGAGGUGAAAUUCGUAGAUAUUGGGAAGAACACCGGUGGCGAAGGCGGCCAUCUGGACCGCAACUGACGCUGAGGCGCGAAAGCGUGGGGAGCAAACAGG